CCGGCUUCUCCGCGCCCCAUCUGAUCGGAUUCUGUUGCCCUCACCCCCAGGCCACCGACUCCUGUCCCGAGCGUGAUGUCCCCGCUGUCGCUCCGGUCGGGUAGUGGAAGGGAGGCGUAGAGGAGAUGACGACGCGGUUAGAGAGAGAGGUGGCCCACUCGGACCCCGCUGAGCCACGCUUCACGCUCGCCACCUGCACCAGCCUCCCCUCGCCGGGUCGUCGCGCUCCCCGCCCUGCUUCGAACCACCGCAUACGCUGCACCCUGCCACGCCACGGGGAGGAGACUGCGCCAGCGCUAGAAAGGAAGAAAGGGAGAGGAGCCGGCGGCGGGCAGCACGCUGAGGGCGAGGACCAUGGUUGUGGCUGACUAAAGUUGCACCGGAGAGGACGAGGAUGAGAAAGAGACGAUGAAGGCGUGAGUACUGGGGGUGGGAGCUGCAGAGGCCGGCCGUGUGGAUGCUGUGGACGACAACUGUAAAGAACAGCUCCAAUAUGCUCAUUUACAUCUCCACCGACCUGCUGCCCCCAGUCACGGAGGUUGGCAACAACAACGAGUAUGUUUCAGAUGACACCGGCUGGUGUCCAGGUAGCAGAAGCAAAGGCUCCAUAGAAUUUAAUAAAUUGAUUGCUUCAUUAGUAAAAUCAGUGUACGGUUUGCAUCGACCAAGGAGCAGCGCAGGAAGUUCCUUGAUGGCGCAAUGCAGGUGGGGAAAGAGAAAAGGAGUCAUAUCAAGUGGGCAACUGGUCAAUCAUCACUGACUGCAAUGACAAUCAAGUGACCCGAUGCACACCAAUUUGAAUCACUAAUACUUUUCUCAUGAUUCAGUCAGAACAAAAGAUGAUAACGUUCAUGUGAAAAUUGUUCUUGAUAGAGUUAAGGUCCUAAUUGGGGAAUUCCUGGAUUUGUAGUGAAACAAAGCCAAUGGUUCACUUGUUCGAGACUGCAUAGUUUUCUUAGGUGAGAAUAGACUGAACAAGCUAGCAUUCUUGAUGCACUGCUGAUACUAGCUGUUAGAUUGGAUAACUAUUAGUUUGAUAGCAAGGCUUAAUUGGUUAUGUGAAACUUCGAUCUGUCAUAAGUUAAAUUAUUUCCCCUAAGCAUCACUAAAUUUAGGAAUGUGAAAUGUGAUGGAAUUAUACCAGCUUGACAUUGACUAACUGUAUUUCUAAUUUUUCAUUCAGUAUAUCUUGUGGUUAUAAAUUGAACACAGUUGUGUUAAUAUUAGUGCAGUCUUGCAGGCUGAAAGGAAGAGUCAUAUUACCACUCCCGGCAAAAGCUCAAGAAAAAGUAAAGAAAAAGCCUGGAAUUUUGAAAACAAAUGUAAGCAGCUGACACACACAGGUGAGAUGCUCAAUUUAAACAAGAUAAUCAACGUAAAUUGGAGGAAGAUAGACGAUUAGGUUAGAUUUGAAAGAGGUAUUUCUAUCUCCAUCCAUGUAUCACCUCCGUAGCUUGUUAUUAUACAACCAGACCAACUGUCUAAUCCUUGUCAAACUUAUAAUUGAGUGUCAUGAAUGAGCAGGGGACACUGUUCAGAUUAUAAGACAGAACUGAAGAGCCAAAGGAAGAGUGCACAUAAUUUAAAUAAAAAAGUCUCUUUGGUCUAAGGUCGUUGAAGCUUGCAGAUAUUGUCCACUUCUUACAUGUUGAAUUUCAAGAUGCUUUUGGGCAUUAUGGUAUGCUCUGUCGCCACUGAGCUAUUUUCUUCUUGUAUGGGAGAUUGGGUGUGAGACCACAAACAUGAAUUAUGGUUUGGCGGACGAUUCUAGGUGAUGUAAUAAUGGCAAAUAGAGCAAAUUACUAUUUUUCUAUAAUAA